rnacentral:lncRNA from 1 species
UCCUUUAUUAUCCAUGGCUUCUUCUUAAAUCUCACUUUGCUCCCUGGUAGAAGUGGAUCUUCUUUUGCUUUUGGGUGAAUGGUUCUUCUCCCUUUAUUUUCAGGCACCUGCAAAACACAACAACUGUCAAAAUAAUCAUUACCUGUUAUGCUCUCUUCUUGUUCUUCAUUCACCUCUGGCUUCUCAAAUAUUUUUCUUUUCACUGUCUUAAUCUCAUCCCCUUCACGGCCAGUAUAGAGAAAUAGAUAAUUCAAAUCUCUCAUCAUUAUUCUUCCACCAUGAACAUCAAUAAACAUCUUUGAUGUUGCCAUGAAGGGUCGCCCC